UACGUAGGUGGCAAGCGUUGUUCGGAAUUAUUGGGCGUAAAGGGCGCGUAGGCGGUCUUGUAAGUCAGCUGUGAAAGCCCGGGGCUCAACCCCGGAGGGUCGGCUGAUACUGCAGGACUGGAGUACGGAAGAGGUAGCUGGAAUUCCCGGUGUAGCGGUGAAAUGCGCAGAUAUCAGGAGGAACACCGGUGGCGAAGGCGGGUCUCUGGGCCGAUAUCGACGCUGAGGAGCGAAAGCGUGGGGAGCGAACAGG
rnacentral:rRNA from 1 species